GGGCGGCGCCGAGCCGUCUAAUAACCACAGGCUGACGUCACCGUGAAGGGGGCCCGGCCCUUCUCAGUGAACGUCAUCUCACACGAAAAGAUGCCCUGUGGCGCUGCAAUCCGCCACCCGCUGCAACAUGCAUCGCAGGAAGGUUUUAAUGAGACUCCUGCCACAUAUUAGUCACCAAUUCCAGCUCCUUCUCUGAAGAUGGUUGGUUCCAAGACACUGCCCCGAGGAACUCUUCCAGAGAUCUCUGGAGGUCGAUGAGCACAGCCAUCUUCUUUUAUCAAGAGGAACUGCAAAUAGAACUGAAGAUUGCACAAUAUUUGAGUCAUGGAGAGAUACAGUGUGGAACCGGGCCCUUUGACCUACUGAGUCCAUGCUGACCACCAAGCACCCACUUACUCAUGAACACCCACUCGUUUAACCUUAUGAAUGAGAGAAGGUAAUUGAGGAAGCAGCUGUAGACAGUUGACCUCAGAACCCUGCCCUGAGGUGCGCCUGCUACAAUGUCCUGGAUCUUAGAUAAUUGCCUCAAACAAGUACAACCAUCUUUAUAUAGGAGAGGUACGACCCCAUCUGGUGGAGAGUUUUGACUGGCUGGUUUCCAUUGACUUCAACUUCACUGGAGCUCCUUGAUGCCACACGCUUAGUCAAAUGCUGCCUUGAUAUCAGGGCCUCUGUCUCUGAACGUUUGAGCAAAAAACAAAGUGAUGAAGGCACUUAGUGGAUCAGGUAUCAUCUGUGGGGGGAAUGAAUUGAUGCUGUUUUGGAUCGGGACCCUUCUCAGAUAGGCCCAGACUCUGAGCUUUUGUCCAGUAAGUAAGCUAUAGUUGACAUUUAAAGGAUGACUAUAUAGAGUUUGUACAUCAUAGAAACCUCAUCCUUCAACCCACCGUGUCUAUGUUGACCACCAUGUUCAUCUAUAUUAAUACCAAUUGCCUGCAUUAAUUCCAUAUCAGUCCUUGCUCAUUCAAGUACCUAUUCAGAUGCCUCUUAAAGGAUGGUACUGUUCCUGCCUCCAUCACUUACUCUGGCAGCUCAUUCCAGUUACCAACUAAUCUGUGUGAAAACCCUACACCUCAGAUUCCUUUUAAGUUUCCUACCUUCCACUUUAAACGUAUGGGUCUCUAGCUUCAGAUAUUUCGACCAUGCAAAAUAAACUCUGGUUUCUCAUAAUUUUAGAUACCUCUUUAGUACCAUCUCUCAGCUUCUUUCAUA